CACGUAGGGCGCAAGCGUUGUCCGGAAUUAUUGGGCGCAAAGAGCUCGUAGGCGGUCUGUUACGUCUGCUGUGAAAACCCGGGGCUUAACCCUGGGCUUGCAGUGGAUACGGGCAGACUAGAGGCAGGUAGGGGAGAAUGGAAUUCCCGGUGUAGCGGUGAAAUGCGCAGAUAUCGGGAGGAACACCGGUGGCGAAGGCGGUUCUCUGGGCCUGACCUGACGCUGAGGAGCGAAAGCGUGGGGAGCGAACAGG
rnacentral:rRNA from 1 species